rnacentral:rRNA from 1 species
UCAGGUGGCCGCAGAGAAUAGGCCCAAGCGACUGUUUACCAAAAACAUAGGUUUCUGCUAAGUCGCAAGACGAUGUAUAGGAGCUGACGCCUGCCCGGUGCUGGAAGGUUAAGGGGAUCUGUUAGAGUAAUCGAAGCAGUGAACUUAAGCCCCAGUAAACGGCGGCCGUAACUAUAACGGUCCUAAGGUAGCGAAAUUCCUUGUCGGGUAAGUUCCGACCCGCACGAAAGGCGUAACGAUUUGGGCACUGUCCCAACAACAGACUCGGUGAAAUUGUAAUUCCGGUGAAGAUGCCGGAUACCUGCGACAGGACGGAAAGACCCCAUGGAGCUUUACUGUAGCUUGACAUUGGGUCUUGGUACUACAUGUACAGGAUAGGUGGGAGGCUUUGAAACCAGGACGCCAGUUUUGGCGGAGCCAUCCUUGGGAUACCACCCUUGUAGUACUGGGACUCUAACCAUAGGCCAUGAAUCUGGUCUUGGGACACUGUCAGGUGGGCAGUUUGACUGGGGCGGUCGCCUCCCAAAAGG